GAUACUGAGUCAUGAAUCAGUUGGUGGAUUCUUGACUCAUUGUGGAUGGAGCUCGACUAUAGAAGGGCUUAUGUUUGGUCAUCCGUUGAUUAUGUUGCCUUUUUUGGUUGAUCAAGGACUAAACGCUAGAAUCCUAGAGGACAAUGGGGUUGGUGUGGAAGUACCACGAAACGAAGAGAACGGGUCCUACACGAGCAACUCGGUGGCCAACUCGGUGAAGUUAGUAAUGAUGGGAAAUGAUGGAAAGCUAAUUCGAGAGAAAGCAAAAGAAAUGAGAGCCAUAUUUGGUAACAAAGAGCUGCAAGAUAAGUAUAUAGAAAAUCUUAUUAAUUUCUUGGAAAAUCAUAGGAAAGUAAAGAAUUAAUGGAUGUGGAUCUACUUAUAUCUUAAUGUGUGAAAAAAUUCCCACCCUUUCCUUUUCUUUUCUUUUUUUCAUUUAUUGUUAGUUUGGGUGCUAAUUGUGAGCAUAUCUUAAUGUGUGAGCACUUCCACUUUGUGAAGUGGUUUUUUUUCAACCCUAGUACUACAAUACCAGUCUCGCAGCGGCAAGUGAGUUACACACGCGCCAUUUCAUUGUCACAUCAACGCCACAUUAAAAAUUAUUUAAAUUUUGAGUUUUUUAAUUCGAUCUUUUUUGUUUCUUUUUAUUUAUACAAUUUUAGAAAGGUGAAAAUAGAAAUUAUACAAAUUAAAUAACUAAUUUAAGAUGAAGAAAUUAUAAUUUUUUUAAUUAAAAAAAGCUUCAAGUUCAGCAUAAUCAACAAAGCCUUCCAUAAGUAAGCUCUUGAAGCAACAAUAAGUUGUUGGUUUUUUCAUUUUUUUCUUAUUCAUCACUUCUAAGAAUAAGCAAGAAUAAUUUGAAAUGAAGGAAUAGGUGGGGGUGUUUCGAAGAAGAAGAAAGAAGGUGGCGGGGAGGGAAGCUCGAAGAAGAAGAAGAAGAAAGGUGAGAGGCAAGUGGGUGGCGGCGGGGUUCGAAAUAGGAGAAUGAGGAGUGUGGGUGGGGGGGUUCGAAGAACGAAAGGGUGGGGUUGUUGGUGGAUAAAGGUGGUGGGGUGGUGGGGUGUGAGGAAGAUGAAACCUUAUUGGUUGGAAAGAAAAAAAGGGACCUAUUUUUUUUUUUUAUUAUUUUUUUUUUACUUUUGCACUCGCUUUUUAUUUUUUUAUUUGCCACAUCAGCUUUUUGAGUGGAUUUUAAUUCACUUGAAAUGAGAUUAGGAAGGUAAAUAAUUAUUUGCAAAGUUAAAGUACUAAAGUAAGUUUAGCGGACAAGUUCAGAUGGAGUUUUAUUUAUUUUCUCUACAAAAAAAUCUUCACAUGGUUAGCCAUUAGAGAACCAAGGAGGGUCCUAUAGACAAUUUAUUAAUGUAAAGUUAAAAAUGGUGGAAAACGAUUGAAAGAUAAUUCGUUAGGACGCCAAUGACAUGUGUUUCAUAUUUGGAAAUUCAAAAAUCCUCCAGAUAAUCAGUGGCGAAAUUAAAAUUUUAUUUUUAAAAAAUAUAAACUAUAGCAAUGAUUUUAAAUAUUAAUAAAUUUAAUAAAAUAAAUAUAUUAUUUUAGUAAAAGUUACUAAGUUUGUCUGAAUUAGUAUUCGAAUUUUUAACUCGAUCAACCCAUAAUGUUCUUGGAAGAUCAUACGAAAAGGUCAAAGUAAUGGAAAUAGAUCUUGGAUUUUAAGGACCUGUUCGGCCAUGAAUUUUCCUGUUUUUUAAAAAUAAAAUAAAAAAUAGUAUCUGAUCAUGAAAUUCCAAACACAAUUUGAAGUUAUGUUUGAAAUUUAUAAAGCACACCCAAUUUUUUUUAAAAAAUAAAGUGAAAAUUAUUUAUUAGUAGUAUGUAAUGGCUUAAAUAUGAAAUUUAAUUUAUGAUAUUAUGUGAUUAUCUGUUUGAGAUAAUACUCUUUUAAAUUAAAUUUGAUGUAAAACAUUAUGCGACUAGCUGACUAUCUAUUUGAGAUGUUACUCUUAAAUUUUAAUGUAAAACAAAAUAAAGUAAUCAAUUUGGUGAAAAUUUUAAGUGCUAACAGAAACUUUAAAUCAAAAUCUAGGGACCAUAGUUGUGAUUUAUUCACUUUUUGAAAAGUUGUGGCCAUAAAUUGGACUGAACCAUAUAUUCAUGGGGGCUUUAAAUGCAUCAGCAGAAGGGUCAUCUGACACUUUUGUCCCUAUUUUGUAUUGUUAAUUUUUACUUCAUGGAGAAAAAAAAAUCGUAGAGAUAGAUUUAUAUUUUCAUAUCAUGAUAUCUCAAAAGUUCUGGCCACGUUUUGUGUCUUUAAAAAAACUCAUCCCCCAGUAGACGUUAGUUCCAUUCCUAGGAGAAAUCAAAGAAACAAUCAGCAUAUUUAAAGUGAAUUGUUAUGGAAAGUCAACUUGUCAAAUCCAUAGACAAUGGAGAUGAAAGUAAUACUAAAAAGCUUCACAUAGUUAUGUUUCCAUGGCUAGCUUUUGGUCAUAUUAUUCCAUUUCUUGAACUUUCCAAAUUCAUAGCUCGAAAGGGUCAUAAAAUUUCUUUUAUUUCGACUCCAAGAAAUAUUGAUCGUCUCCCAAAAAUUCCUUCUGAAUUUUCUAAUUCCAUAACUUUUGUAAAAAUCCCACUUCCAAAAAUUGAUGGCUUACCAAAAGAUGCUGAGGCCACUAUUGAUAUUAUAACAAGUGAAGAAAUGACUUAUCUCAAGAAAGCAAUGGAUGGUAUGGAAAAAGAUGUGACUAAUUUCUUAGAGAAAAAUUGUCCUGAUUGGAUUAUUCAAGAUUUUGCACAAUAUUGGUUGGCUCCAAUUUCAGCCAAAUUAGGGAUAUCAAGAAUUUUCUAUAGUAUCUUCAAUGCUUGGUUCAUUUCCUUCCAUGGUUCCUUUGAGAAAAUGAUCAACACUAACAAUUGUACUUCACCACCAAAGUUGGAAGAUUUUUUGGUUCCACCAAAAUGGAUCCCAUUUGAGACAAAGGCGGCGUAUCGCCUCCACGAGGCGCGGUGGAUGGUGGGGUCUAGCCAAAAGAAUGUUUCUGGAGUUUCAGACGUGUAUCGUUGUGGUGUCACGAUUAGAGGGUCGGAUGCAAUUAUUGUUCGUCAUUGUCAUGAGUUCGAAGGUCAGUGGUUGAAGUUGCUGGAGGAUCUACAUCAUAUUCCCGUGCUUCCUACGGGGCUAAUGCCACCGUUAGUGGAAAGUAGUAGCGAUGAAAAAAAUGAAUCAUGGAUAUCAAUUAAAGAAUGGUUAGAUGAGAAACCGAAAGGCUCAAUUGUUUAUGUAGCACUAGGAAGUGAAGUGACGGUUGGUCCAAGUGAAAUUAAUGAGUUAGCUCAUGGGCUGGAGUUAUCAGGAUCACCGUUCUUUUGGGUCUUGAGGAAGCCAUCAGGGGUGGAAAAUAUCGACCCAAUUGUGCUACUCGAUGGUUUUGAGGAAAGAACUAAAGGUCAAGGCAUAGUAUGGAAGAGUUGGGCGCCUCAGAUGAAGAUACUGAGUCAUAAAUCAGUUGGCGGAUUCUUGACUCACUGUGGAUGGAGCUCCACUAUAGAAGGGCUUAUGUUUGGUCAUCCGUUGAUUAUGUUACCUUUUUUGGUUGAUCAAGGACUUAACGCUAGAAUCCUAGAGGACAAAGGGGUCGGUGUGGAAGUACCACGAAACGAAGAGAACGGGUCCUACACGAGCAACUCGGUGG
rnacentral:lncRNA from 1 species